GCUACUGGACCUAGCGGCGGACGGGUGAGUAAUACUUAGGAAUCUGCCUAUUAGUGGGGGACAACGUUCCGAAAGGAGCGCUAAUACCGCAUACGCCCUACGGGGGAAAGCAGGGGAUCUUCGGACCUUGCGCUAAUAGAUGAGCCUAAGUCGGAUUAGCUAGUUGGUGGGGUAAAGGCCUACCAAGGCGACGAUCUGUAGCGGGUUUGAGAGGAUGAUCCGCCACACUGGGACUGAGACACGGCCCAGACUCCUACGGGAGGCAGCAGUGGGGAAUAUUGGACAAUGGGCGCAAGCCUGAUCCAGCCAUGCCGCGUGUGUGAAGAAGGCCUUAUGGUUGUAAAGCACUUUAAGCGAGGAGGAGGCUUACCUAGUUAAUACCUAGGAUAAGUGGACGUUACUCGCAGAAUAAGCACCGGCUAACUCUGUGCCAGCAGCCGCGGUAAUACAGAGGGUGCAAGCGUUAAUCGGAAUUACUGGGCGUAAAGCGCGCGUAGGUGGCCAUUUAAGUCAAAUGUGAAAUCCCCGAGCUUAACUUGGGAAUUGCAUUCGAUACUGGAUGGCUAGAGUAUAGGAGAGGAAGGUAGAAUUCCAGGUGUAGCGGUGAAAUGCGUAGAGAUCUGGAGG
rnacentral:rRNA from 1 species